UCCAGCUGUCCUCCCUGGCAUUCAGUUUCCCCUAGUAGAGGCUAUCUUGUUGCAGUAAAUUAGCGUUAACUGGGAGGAGGCGGCCACUCAUACAGACUGACUUUACUUGGCUUUGGCAGCUCCAAGCAGGAACAAAGCUGAUAUCCAUUCCACAAGCAAGGAGGAAAAACAGGCUCACACUUUCUUAAAGAUCUCUCAAACUUCCCACAUCUGAAGACUAGGAUGGCCAGUUGCGGGUCGUGUUUCUGGAGCAUUGUGUGGCUGGUGAUUUUACUGAUCAUAGGCUGGCCACUCAGUAUCUUACUGGGGGGGCUCUACGGCCUCAUCACCCCCCUUACCACCUGCGUGGGCCUGGACCGCUUGUCAGACCUGCUCCUGGAGGGGGCCAACCUGGGUCGGACCUGCGCCCAGAACAUGAAACAUGGCAAGGCAGUGUGCUGAGACCAGACCAGGUCCUGGUCCUGACUGCUGCUUCUGGUCCUGUCACCGUGGAAACAGACAAACGUUUCCUGCACAGAGGAAGAGUAACUGUUACUGUUCAUGCCGAAGGCCAUUGUGUUAUUGUUCGUCUUGUCACGUUAUUGAGGUAUUAAUAUUUAAAAGUCCAAAGCCAAAACACAAGGUAAACUUUUAACAAAAUGAUUAUGCUCGCUCUAUCAAUGUGUCAUUAACAGUGGAUGUUCUUUUUUGUUUGAGUUUGUCUACUCUACAACUUGAAAUACAGAUACUUAGUAUUCAUAGACUGUAUUUGCUGUUUUUAAUUCAUGAUGACAUCCUGCAAAGGGCAGAUAAUGUUCAACAGCUUAACUUUAACAAUAGAGCAGUUAUGGAUUUAAACUUAUAACGUGAUUAAAUUCUUUUGAACUUGCCUUA